AACGAACGCUGGCGGCAUGCCUAACACAUGCAAGUCGAACGAUACCUUCGGGUCUAGUGGCGCACGGGUGCGUAACGCGUGGGAACCUGCCCUUAGGUUCGGAAUAACUCCCCGAAAGGGGUGCUAAUACCGGAUAAUGUCUUCGGACCAAAGAUUUAUCGCCUUUGGAUGGGCCCGCGUUGGAUUAGCUAGUUGGUAGGGUAAAAGCCUACCAAGGCUACGAUCCAUAGCUGGUCUGAGAGGAUGAUCAGCCACACUGGGACUGAGACACGGCCCAGACUCCUACGGGAGGCAGCAGUGGGGAAUAUUGGACAAUGGGCGAAAGCCUGAUCCAGCAAUGCCGCGUGAGUGAUGAAGGCCUUAGGGUUGUAAAGCUCUUUUAACCGGGAUGAUAAUGACAGUACCGGGAGAAUAAGCUCCGGCUAACUCCGUG
rnacentral:rRNA from 1 species